ensembl:lincRNA
GCUGGUUACAGCCCACCGCAGAGCACAGGGAACCUACGCACUGUUCCGAUAUGACCUGCACGGGGAAGAGAUCUGAGAAAGGACGGGCACAUGCGUGUGGGUCAUAUACGACUGGGCCACUUUGCUCUACAGCAGAAACUACACUAUCAUAACUAUAAAUCAGCUACUUUCCAAUAUGAAGUAAAAGUGUUUAAAAACAGAAAAAUGCUACUUACGCCUGGCUGCUUCACUAAGAGCUAAUCCUGUACUGUUUGGAGACCUUCGCUCACACAUCUUAGGAUAACGGAGGUUUGAUGACAGCUGUUUCUUUUAAACCUCAGCCUCCAGGGGUCCCAGGAGCAGGCCACCGGAGGAGACAGCGGUGCUAACGGGAUCCCAGCAGGAGCCAGCGCGGGCACACUCCCCGCUGCCCUCGGGACCCAUCUCGUCUCCAGACGGAAGGCGUCUCACCGGACGGAAGGCAGCUCGUCUUUCCCAGCGCUGAGCGAGCGCCAGGCCCCAGGCGGUAUAAAAGGGAGGGGCAGACUCAGCCCGGGCGCUGGGGACACGGGAGGACGUCCGCCCGCAGGAGCAGCCUGAGCAGCCGGGGAGGACCACAGAGAGCCCCAAGCUGAGCAGCUCGACGUGGGGCUCAGACCAACCUGCUCUUUGGGGGAAACUCUGCGACUGUGAAAUCCGUCCCACUGAUCAUGAGCAGAAGCUACAGCAUGAAGCACCACGGAAGGGUGACCUACGACGCCGAUGUGCUAAAGAUGUUUUGGGAGAAAAAAAUCGAGCUUCACAUGGAACAGCUGCAAAAGGAGGACAUGAGGAUCCGCAGAAGCGCCCUGGACAGGCUCCGUGACGAGUGGGCUCGGCAGCUGGAGAGGAGGAACCAGAUGCUGCAGAGCUCCCGGGAGGCGCCCCCGCAGCCAGCCCCGCCGGGCACCCCCGCCCUGCGCGCCGGGGACCAGCCAGCGGCCUGAGCGCGCUCCCCGUGGCCCGCGAGCGCCGCCCUUGCGGCAGCCCAGCCCCCCGCCCCGUGGUUUUGCGUCGCUAGCAUGAUGUACGCGCCCAAUAAAACCUCAGAUGAGUGGAUGGUUCGCGCCCAUUUCUCUUCAUAUCUGUAAAACGCACGCACACUAAAAGCGAACAUGUAACCUCCAACAAGUCAGAAGGAAAUCGCCGGACUGCGGGGACUUGGGCAGAUGUGAACACAAGUUAGUUCACCUCUGAUCAAAAUGUCUGCAAAAGCUCAGCCUAAGGACAGUCCCCAACGUGAAGCUGUGUAAAGCCGUGUGCUCCCCAAGUCCCUUCAAAGUCCUCACUCACCACCGCGUCAUCUCAGGAAGCGACGCAGCCUCUUCCUCACUUGAGUUUGGAGGCACAGUCUCUGGAGGCCGCAGAGGCCGAUAGGGCUGGGACUCAAUGUUUCAGUGUCGCCCCUGCCUGUCCCCCCAGUGGGGGCUGUGACCUCCCCAGGCCCCCGGAUGAGCAGGGGGCUUGAGCCAGCAGCAGAGGCUGGGCUGAGACAGGAGGACCGGGAGCCAACCGGAGGCCCGCCAGGGCUGCGUCCCCUCCACACGACCCUCAGUGGGAGCCUCCACGGCCCCUCGCUGGCAGGACGGGACUCCUGGAAGGGGGCUGGGGCCCGGCUGUGCGUCUCUGCAGAUCGCAUGACGGGGAGGACAGAUCUGACUCCACCUCAGGUCUUUAACCUUUGUGUUGGGGCGCCUUUGCUAUGAGUUAGCAAUGUUGGCUACGGCUUGAAAUACACAGGUCAGCCCAGUCUCAAGGCUCCGACCUUUUCAGGCAUAAUACUUUCUCAUUCAUACAGAGAUAAAAAGUGGCAGAACAGAGGAUGACAUUUUCCCCUUGGAGGUUUACAGGAACAUCGUGACCUGACCUACAUGGGCAGCUGCAAGAACAAAGGAGUCCCAUAGCAAGAAGUUCACCACAAGCAGCCAAACCCCCUCCGCUUUCAGUAUAAAAGGAUCCUGAAGUCUAAGUCGGCCGAGACACUCUUCGGGACUCUGGCCCGCCCUUGUCUCCGUCUGCUGGCUCUCUGAGUAAAGUUGCUGCUCUGUGCCACAGCUCAUCUCCCCAUUUACUGGGCUGCUGUGUAGUGAACAGUACAGCUUUGGACUCCAUAACAGCUGGGUUUGGGUUCUGUUUUGUUCUGACCCCCGAUCCAGUUGACAAGGAGGGAGGGGUUGUGGGAGCUUCUCCAGAGACUUAACCAAAGGAAAAAAAGCCAACACAAAUGGCCACGUGGCAUCCACGGUAUUUCCAGAGCUGUCCAUAGUAGACUGGACCACAAGCGAAUAUCCAGCAGAAAAGGUCCGGAACCUGACACAAACACGGGUGCUUGCCUCGCCAAAUGGCCCAGUGGAGGGGGCCCAGAGAAGGCCCGCACAACACCAACCUGCAAACACACCUUUCUGGGCCACCCUGCAAGCUGUCCAUCAGAGCUCGUGACUCAGGACAUUCCACUGAUGAGCACGCGGGGAAUGUGGUGACUAACAGCCCUAAAACUAGCUGGAGAAUAGAAGUCCGUCACUAAGACUCGAAAAGCCCCAAGCUGCUCCAGGGUAAUUUCAUCUGAUGAUGUGCUUAGAGCUCCGCGCUGUCAACACGGAUAAAGAGAGACGUCUGCUUGGACCGUCUGGGGGACGGGCGUGUUGGUCCUGAACCCCAUCCUCAGGGCCCGCCACGCUGCAGUGACCCGCUGACCUUCCUCCUCGUGGCAGAAGCCAGGGUGGCAUAGAGACAAGGCUCUUUACCAGCCGCAGCUUCUCCGUCACUGAUCUUUGUCUGGGCAAAGCUGAGCUACCCCAGAGACCGGAGGGUGCUUCAUGCUGGGC